rnacentral:rRNA from 1 species
CAUUACCGAGUGAGGGCCCUCUGGGUCCAACCUCCCACCCGUGUUUAUUUUACCUUGUUGCUUCGGCGGGCCCGCCUUAACUGGCCGCCGGGGGGCUUACGCCCCCGGGCCCGCGCCCGCCGAAGACACCCUCGAACUCUGUCUGAAGAUUGAAGUCUGAGUGAAAAUAUAAAUUAUUUAAAACUUUCAACAACGGAUCUCUUGGUUCCGGCAUCGAUGAAGAACGCAGCGAAAUGCGAUACGUAAUGUGAAUUGCAAAUUCAGUGAAUCAUCGAGUCUUUGAACGCACAUUGCGCCCCCUGGUAUUCCGGGGGGCAUGCCUGUCCGAGCGUCAUUGCUGCCCUCAAGCCCGGCUUGUGUGUUGGGCCCCGUCCCCCGAUCUCCGGGGGACGGGCCCGAAAGGCAGCGGCGGCACCGCGUCCGGUCCUCGAGCGUAUGGGGCUUUGUCACCCGCUCUGUAGGCCCGGCCGGCGCUUGCCGAUCAACCCAAAUUUUUAUCCAGGUUGACCUCGGAUCAGGUAGGGAUACCCGCUGAACUUAAGCAUAUCAAU